rnacentral:rRNA from 1 species
CUGGGCGUAAGCGCGCGUAGGCCGUUGAGUUAGUUAAUUGUGAAAUCCCAAAGCUUAACUUUGGAACUGCAAUUAAAACUGCUCGACUAGAGUUUGAUAGAGGAAAGCGGAAUACAUAGUGUAGAGGUGAAAUUCGUAGAUAUUAUGUAGAACACCAGUUGCGAAGGCGGCUUUCUGGAUCAACACUGACGCUGAGGCGCGAAAGUAUGGGUAGCAAAGAGGAUUAGAUACCCUCGUAGUCCAUACCAUAAACGAUGAUUGCUAGAUGUUGGAAAUUUAUUUUCAGUAUCGCAGCUAACGCAUUAAGCAAUCCGCCUGGGGAGUACGACCGCAAGGUUAAAACUCAAAUGAAUUGACGGGGACCCGCACAAGCGGUGGAGCAUGUGGUUUAAUUCGAAGAUACGCGCAGAACCUUACCAACCCUUGACAUGUCUGUCGCGAGUUUAGGAAACUAGACUUUUCGGUUCGGCCGGACAGAACACAGGUGCUGCAUGGCUGUCGUCAGCUCGUGUCGUGAGAUGUUGGGUUAAGUCCCGCAACGAGCGCAACCC